CCUUUUUGUUUGCCAACAUGGGAUAAAGCAGCAAGAAAGCACUUGCCAGAUAUGGGUCCUUGAACCUUGGACUGCCCAGCCUCCAGAACUCAUCCCUUACGCCAUACUUUGGUAAAUACUGUUCAUGGUCUUAGAAAUGCCAAGCAAGCAGACAGCAGGAAACUAGUGAUCUAGAAUCAGCAAGAAACCUCUAAGGGAAAAUAUACAAAGCAAGUUUGGUGGAACAAACUACAGGCCCCACCUCUGAAGCUGACCUUGAAUCCUCAGCUGUUGCUAUUGUUAUCCUCUCCGGUGCAUUCUAAAGUUCCCUCACUCUUCCAAGAACCCUUGACUAUGCUUGCCUUGAUCGCUUAUCUAAUUGUGACCCAGAAUGUCAUCCCUGAGAGGUCUGACUUCCUGAUCACCAUGUCCUUCUUAGUCCAUGACCACUGUACUUGUCAAUUUUCUGUCAAGAUAUGGCAAGGAGGUACCAAAAGACACCCCAGUGAUUAUACUCUUCCCUGUCAUGGUAAAAACUGUGUAUCUGCAGCCCCACUGCUCUAACAAGAUGGUGGUUUCUUUCCUUGCUUGUUGACUUCUUCAUUCAAGAAGCCUACAGUGGCUGAGUGGCAGCUAAAUCUAAAAGGUUAUUGGGAAACUCACUGUGUCCCUUGCUGGAAGCAUUCCCUCCUUGGGAAGCAGGACCUCUGGAGCCACAGAAUCCAGAUUUGUAGAGAUGAAAAGCACAGAAAACCCAAAUGGGACACUUGGAGUGAUGGUUAAGUGGGACCACUCAUAUAUCAAUUGUCUUAUUGCUGCACAAACGUAUUCUGCCUCCUAGGGACACAGAAACACUGUAUUGGUUAAAGCUGUUUAUUUCAUCUUAUAAAAUGGCACCCCAUCCGUGCAGGGCAUUGUACCUAAGCCAGUAUCUCAGUUGUACCUUGAAGAGCCUGUCCCAUUGCUGUAUAUGUAUAGCAGUUUCUGGUAGGUGCCAAAUGUGUAGGACCAGUGGGUCCCAUCUACAUGUCACCACUGUCACACCUCCUUGGCUGUUCUGUGAGUCCCUUUGUCUAGUGCAACAUUAUAAAGGAUGCCAUGGUGGUAGAUUACUCUAUGAGCUGCCAUAGUGGUUCUAGCUGAGACCCUGUGAAAAGGAACAGUAAAUCUUCACAUGGAAAAUACUUUUGAUUUCAGUCAAAAUAAGUUAUUUGCCCUUUCAAAGUAGAAGUACAAUGCAGACAACAUUCCACCAAAUAGCUGGUUGGUCUCCUUGAGCAGUUGUGCCAUACUGGGGACCCAGCUGUUGUCUCUAUUGCUUCUAGGUUGUAGUUUUGAAAGUGGCAGUAGCUAUAUCAAUUCUGAAGAAUGAGAUCCCAUGCUUUCAGAUCCAUGUAUCACCCACAGCUACUCUCUUCUUGAGCCCAUCAUGCUAGCAAUGGGAUGCCUGAUAACAGAGGAUAGCUAAUAUUAAAUGGUUGUUUGAUACCUCCUGUGUACUAGAUGGUCUCUGAUAAACCUUAACAUGAAAUACAAAGAUCUUCAUACCCUGGCCACUCCCAUAGGUUCACAUACAUACCUUUUCCCCAGUCUUUCUGGGUGAUCCUGAUUACCUUUUAUCUAUUUUAUUUGCAGGCCUUUCCUAAUCAAUCAGCCAAGCCAUUCAACUCUGUCCAAUAAUUCAUACUUAUUCACUUUGGGCCACUUUUCUUCCCUCAUGAAGUAGAUAUUCACUAAAGUUUUAUCCAUUGGGAGGAUUUCCUGUUACCAUUAUCUUUCAGGACUCCCCUAAGGUCUAUGGUAUAGAAUGCCUCCAACUGCACAGUGUCAUCCUCAAAUCUCUUUUGCUAUAAACAUACACAGAACUUGCUCAUUCAUGAAUCAAGCUUACCUUUUGUCUCCUCUGACAUCGAGUCAUAGGAGACUUCUCAUGCAGCCACAGGUGUUAGCUCUGGGAGAAAUGCUGAUAUAACGUAUUUAAAUCAAUAUUUAAGUGAAAGGCAUUAGACCUGGACACUCUGCUCGUGCAGCAAAUUAGUGUCUACUAGUCUUGCUCAUGCUUGAUCCACAUGUAUCACAUUUACAUCUUAUAAUGAAAUUCUACUGCCCCCUCCAGAGUUGUCUCUAUUUGAAGUAAGAGGGCAGCUUUUAUACUUGUACAUAUACCCUUCAUUCGAAGCAGGCUGUCCCCAUGGAAUGGGAGUGCCUAGGGUAAGGCAGCUUCCUAGCUGCUCUUAGAUGAAGAUGAUGGAGAGGCCCAGACAGAGACUCAGCUGUGAGUUGUCAGCAAUCAACACUCCUGGCAGCCAAAGGAAUGACUGCCUUGGUCCUGAAGAGAAAUCUUUAUGGCACCUCACAGCUUCUACUGCACACAUUUUAAAGGAUAAUAAGAAAGAGAUAAGGCCUAGGAAAUGGGAGAAGUUUGGAAACUCUCAACCCUGCUUGGGAUCUGAUUCCACGAUGAGUUUUUCAUUCAUAUGCUUUUUUUAAAAAAUGCUGUAGUGAAAAGUUAGGUUCAAAGCCUCUGUCUCUACCUACAAGUCUAAGUCACUUUCACAGCUGACCCAUGUAAAGACUGUGAAUAUAGAACACAUUGUCAUUCCCAAAUUUCUUAGAGGCCGUAAGUAAGAAUGACCCUUAGAGAAUAACUUGGUUUUUUUUGUUGUUUUUUGUUUUGUCAGAAUGGGAGACUAAUGCAGAAUUGUUCGUUUUCUAAGUCUCAGUUUUCUCUAUCUGUACCUUGAAAUAGCAAUAGUCCUUACUCAUAGGUUGUAACCACUUGUAUAAUCUGAGACCAUAUAGCUAGAGAGCAGAUGGAAAGGGCAUUUGAUCUCAAGGAAGAUGGUUGUAAAUUCUCCACUUUGUUCAAUCCACCAUACAUUCAUAAUUUCUACUUUUACAAAUAUUAUGCUUAAUGAAGGAGACCAUUUUUUUCAUUCAUUCAGUCUGUUCAUAUGGAUGUCUUCUCUGUACCAGGAGCAAUGCCAAGACCUGAAAAUUUGACCAUUAAGAAUACUUCCCUUCACUGAGCCUGCAGUCUAACUGGAAAGAUUCACAUUCAUGAAAUUAUUAACAAGGAAAUAAAAACAUAUUGCCACACUGGGGACUCAGCUGUGGUCUCUGUUACUUCUAGGCAGACCCUUUGAUGGUGGCAGUAACUAGAUCAAAUCUGGAGAAUAAGAUCCCAUGCUAUUGAAUCCAUAUGUAGCCAAUAACUACUCUCUUCUUGAGCCCAUUGUGCUAGCAAGGUAACAAGUUCUCUGAAACAGAGCAUAUGGUUUCAUGAAUUUGUAUAAUAGUGGAAGUCAUGGAAGAUUUUGCUAAAGUAAUAUGUGCAGCAUAUAAGAAGCACUAAGAGUGAAUUUGUAGAAAAAAUGUUUUUAAGUAUUUCAGGCAGAGGAAACAAUACAUGCUGAGAAGCCUUGGUAGAAGAGGACAUGACACACAUAAAGAAUAAAAAGAAGGUUAUUCUAGCUGGAAUAGAGAGACCAAACAAGAGCAUGGCAUAAAGAGAAUCUGCAGGACAAGCAGGGCCUGACCAUAUAGGGUCAUGUUCAGGACUUUUGUCUUUACCCUGAGAGAAAUGGGAAACCACUUUUUAUUCAGAGGAGUUAAUAAUCAGAUCUGCAUUUUUAAAAGUUUCCCUAGCUACCCUGUGGAGAAUGGAUUGGCAGAGGACGAGUCUGAAUGACAGUGAAGAAUUUUGAGUCUAUUGCUGUUUUCCUGAUGAAAGAUGAUGAUAGCAUGGAUUAACUGUGCUAGCAGAGCUGGAGAAAAGCAGAUGGAUUUGAACAGAAUUUAGUCAGUAAAGUUGACAGCACUUGAUACUGGAUUACAUAUGAGCAAGAAGAUGUCCAGUAUGACUCUCUGGGUUUUUGGUUAGCACAAUUGAAUGGAAGUAGUGCCAAGAUAUAAACAUGAAAGCAUUCUCAGGCAAAAUGUGAUUAUAUAUUUAAAGAGUUCACUUGCAUACAAAGAGAAAUCUAUUACUUUAGAGCUUUUGUCAGUGUUAUGAUCCCUGAUUUUUGAAUUGUUCAUCCUUUAGGAAAUUAAUAAAAGUUAUAAAACCUCUGUCUAGACAAAAGCACUUUCCUAGUCACAAUUGUGCAUGUAUUUUGUGGGUCUGCUUCAUUCAAGUAAGUUUCUUAUCACAUGGCAUUUAUGUAGUCCAUGGAUCUGAGGCUAGGAAACCACUAAAUCUUUAUAAUGUGUACCUUGUGGCUGCACUUCUACAUUGUAGUAAACAAACUUGGAAGAUAAAGAACAUGAUCUUGCAUUGCUUCUACAGGUAUCCAUUUGUAGUAUUUUACUGUUGGUUAACAAAUGAGUAUUGAGUGAGCACUUGCAAAGCACUAUCCUAAUCUGUGGAAGGAAUUGCAAAACAUAAAUGGUCCUCUGGGAACCCAUACAAAAGCGCAUCAAUCCUAGUGACAGAACCAAACACAAGGGUCACCAUGGCACUACUGUCAGGAAAAAGUGCCACAGAGAAAAACUGCCUUCUGUCAGCUGCUCUUCACAUUUAUGGCUUUGUGUGACCUUAGGGGAAAAUAAAAAAUUUCCUUCCCCAGGGAAAGAGUCAUUUGGAUGCAGCUGCAUUUGAAAGAGAAUUGCUGACUUAGAAUCUAAUUCUAUGAUGAACAUUUUAUAAAAAAUACUAUAUAUAGCAAUUAUAUACACUACAUACUGUAUACACAUGAGACAUAAAUUAUAUGCCAAAUCAGCUCUUGUGCCAAUCUGGAAAUAUUGAAAAAAGGAUAUGUGCUUAAGUUGCAGCUGGUAGGCUUAGAAAGAAAAAUUUUUUAAAGGAAAAUCACAUACACAGAGAUAUAUCAUCACCUUCUCCAAAGAUUCUUUUAAAAUUUCACAAUCAUUUGACAUGAAAUUUAGUCUUUUUUUGGAGUUUAGUGAUAAGUUAUCAAAGAUUUCUUCCAUUUAUCUUAUUCAAAGGUAAUAACACCAAAUUACAUGUUGAGGGCUUACUGCAUGCCAAAUACUGUGCUAGCACUUUACGUACUUCAUGUCAUUUAAUCUUUACAACCAUUCAAUGAGAUAGGUAACAUUAUAAAACCCAUUCCGCUAAAAAAUAAACUAGAGUCAGAAAUGUUACAUAAUUUUCCCAGCAGGGCUUCAUUAUCAAAUAUCAAAUGUCGGAAUCCAGGUGUGUCUGACUUGGAAAUCCCAAUUAUUAUCUUACAGAUGACCACUUCACUUAAACCACAUACCCCACCAAGGUGGACAUAAUGAUUAUUUAAUGUUCAAAUCACAUGUCAUUCUUAACCACAGAAGGGAGGCAGGGAGGCAGGGAAGUGCUGGGUAGAGAAGGGUGGGGUCCCUGACAAAGGCUCCACCCUCGGGUCUGUGCCCACAGACCUAAGUGAUAACAGGCACUCCUGUUUUUGUGCCCAAAUGUUGCAUUUUCCAAGACCACUCUGGCCUGCCAUGCCCCCAUUCUGUGCCCAUAAAAAACCCGAAACCCUAGCAGGCACAGACACAAGCAGUUGGACAUGGAGAGGAGCAGAAGAGAACACCCACAGACAGAAACCAGCAGACGCUGGCAGACCAUCAACAGUGAAAUUCAGCCAGGAGCAGUGGGAGGAGAGCCCUACCGCUGGGCAAUCGGACUCCAGGGGAAGAGUACCUUCCCACUCCAUCCCCCUUCUGGCCUCCCCAUCCAUCUCACUGACAGCUAAUAAAACUUUGUAUCUAUCCUCCAAGCCCAAGUGUGACCCAAUUUUUCUGGUACACUAGGGCAAGAAUCCAGGAUACAGAAAGCCUUCUGUCUUUGUGGUAAGGCAGAGGGUCUAACUGAGCUGAUUCACACAAGUCGCCUGAAGAGGGCAAAACUGAAAGAGCAAACUGUAACACAUGCCCACUGAGGUUUCUGGAGCUGCAAACACUCAACCCUGGACAACGCCGAUGGGGUGGGAGCCCAUAAAUGCUCCACACAACCUACCCUUCUGCAUGCUUCCCCUAGGGCUUCUAGCAGCAGAGCAUGGAAGAAGCAAGCCACACCCUGUCUCACGCCCUGUGAGAGGGAUAAGGGAACUACACUCCAGUUUCAAUAACACAACUACCAAAAAUAGGUGUUGAUUCCUUGAAAACUCAAUUACAAAUAUCCUUUCAGGACCAUUGUAUUUGGAAGGUAUAGAAAAGCCCCAGGAAAUAUUCAAAUAUAAAAGUGAAUUUAAUCUAAGUCAUCUUGUUAGACUUACAUGAAUGUUUCUUUGGCAAUGGGAAAGAUAAAAAUUACUUGGGAUCUACAGGACUUAGUCAAAAAAGUCAUAGUUAUUUCCUAAAAAUACUGACCUGAGGCCAUUCAAAGCAGUAAGUAAUAUCACACAAAGUAGAAAUGUACCUUUGUGUGAAAAGUUCUUUUUAGUGAAUUUCAGUAUUUUGCCUUACAAAGCAAGUAGGACAGCUCCACUAUAUAAAUAAUGGAAGUAUAUACUUGGAAGAUGGCUGGGUUAAGAAAUGAUCAAGCAAUCUUUUUUUUUCAACAUCUAAGAACUGCAUAUUAUAAAACAAACUUAUUUCUACAUGUUAUGUAACUAUUUCUAGAGGUUAUUAAAUUUCAGAGACAACUCCUUUUGGUCUGCUUCUGAAAAUAUAUUUGAUGGAAACGAAAAGACAUGCAAGCUCUUUGCUAGUUUCUUUCUCUCUCCUUGUCAGAUGUCAUACCUAGAGAGCUGUGAAUAAACCCUCUCAAUUAUUCCAUAGCUUUUGACCCACAUGCAUAACUUAUCUCUCUUGCAUCAGUCAUUAAAUUGGUACAAGGCCAUGUUUUAUAUGGUUAAGUUCAGAGCUCAUGUGAGAGUAGAUGCUUCACUGAGGAGUUUAAAAAUGCUUCCAUUUGAAGAUCUCAGUUUUUCAUGUAGUCAUCUUCUUCAAAAAUUAUCUGUGUGGUAGAUGUCCUUUAGCAUCCUAGCAUAUACAUAUACAAGAGAAAUAAUCUGUCCCGAGAGUACCAUGUAAUCAAUAACCUAAUGUGAUACUGCAAUCAUAAGCAAUCAUAUCUAUAUAAUAAAAGAAAAACACCCAUAACAUUGCUCUCUAAAUAACCAAGAAAGUACAUUCUUAAAUCAUCUUCAGUUAUAUGGUCAUGAUAGUUUUAUGAUUGUCCAAUCAUGCAUUUAAAAGCAUCUGGGACCCUGAAGAAUUAGAGAUAUCAUUUUUUGGUUCAGUUUAACACUUUUCAAGCUCAUUGGUGUGCUCUCGUUAAAAAAAAAAAAAAAUAGUUCUCUAAGAAGGAUGGAGCUGGAAAUGAAGUUAUGCCUGCUGUUCUUUCCACCUGUAUUCCCCUUUGGUAGUCUUCAUUUAAAUUCAUACCACAUCACUUACACUUUGUCACAUCCUUGAAUUCACCUCUACAUUUUGUUGUGUGCUAUUCAUUGUACCUGCCUAUGCUGCUCUCUCCUGUCCCCACAAUCCAUACCACUGUCCUCCUGUACUGAUAUAUAAUAGCAAUAUAGGAGACCUGUGUGUAAAAGGUACAGUUCACUUCAAGAAAAACACAAUACACAGGAAUUUGAUCUCACCAAGCUGAUAAAUUAAAAGGAAAUAGAUCAUUUAAUAAAACUUAAAAUUCCAAAAUUAAUUUGUAAAGGAAGUGUCUGAUUAUGCAGCAUAUCCCCAUGCUCAAUUAUGUUGGUGGUUAAAUAUUAUUGCAACUAUUUAUUGAGUUCUAUGAAACGGGUACUGUUAUCUCCAAUUUGCAGAUUAGAAAACCAGGCCAGAGCAUUUAGGUGACUUAUUCAGAUCAAAAAAGAGUCAAGAUUAAACCAUGUCUAUUUUACUACAAAAAGAGUGUUCUUAAUCAUGACAUUUUUCUGUCUCCUCAGGACUUGCUUACAAAGUUCACAUUUAUCUAUUACCCAGCCUGAGAUAUCCUUCCGUCCCUCUCACCAUUAAGAUCCUAUCACACAUUAGGAAUGUAUUUUGCCCACACCUAACAUUUCAUUCCUUAGAAGGAGAUCAAUUAGUGUGGCUCUAGGCUCUUCUCAGAGGAGGAGGAGUGACUUAUUUGGUAAGUUUCAGAAGAGUAACUAGGCUCAGCUCAUCUUUACCUUAUUUCCUUAGGGACUGAAAAUUCUUUUAGAGAAAGAGCUAUCCUGGGGUUCUAAGUCUUACAUGGGCAGCCCAUCCAUAUGGAGAGGUGAGCCCAGUCUCCCAGUACCGUGAUCGGUGGGUAAGUCUGCCUAUUUUCAGGGGUCAGUUUCAGCAAACCCAUUUGACAUUAGACUAAGCUCCCAGCCUAGUGUCAUCAGUAUUUAUGGUGAAUACUUUUUUUCCUCCGUCUUUUGUUUCUCAACAUUUUCAGAAUCAGACAGGAAUGAGGGAGACUGUUUGAGAGGCUGCCCAAAAUCCCAGGUUCUGCUUCCUCGAAAGGCUUUUCCCAGGCCCCCAGUCAGAAAUCACCUUUCCCUUUCCUAUCUCCUCACUACUUUGUAUUUCCAUACUAGCCUUUAUACAUGUUCAUUUAUAUUAGUGGAAAAUUGUACAACUCUCUGUAUGAAACUGCAGAAGCUCAGAACUAUUUCUCUCACCCAUUUAUAAGUGCUUCUCCCAUAGUACCUAACAUAGUAUUUUGUAGAUAGUAGGACCUCAAAAACACAUGUGUUUAAUUGAAUUGAAUUGAAUUGAAUUGAAUUGUUUCUGUGCUAUGUAAUCUUUGUGUAUAGCUUUAAACUUUUUUUUUCCAUUUAUAUUUUCCUUAAUUCUGCAGUCUGUUAAGAGCCGUAGGAGAUACAAACUCCAUUUUCUCCUCUCUGCAGUAGACCACUCAGUGCAGUGAUUCAGGCACAGUGGAGAAGCUAUAAAAUUGCCAGCCUUCUGACUGACAGUGAGCCAGUUAACUGUUCCCAUUAGGAGAAUUGCCUGUUUGUUUCUCCUCAUGUUGACUAUGAUUACCCACCCUGUGCAGGCCUCCAGGAUGGAGGCAUGGAGGGUGGCCCUGAAAUUAAGAGAAGGAACUUCGAGUCUCAGAAGUGGCAAUACCCCCAUGUUUGAAGCUGUGACAUCUUCAGGAGUAGCUGGGAGCCAGCUGCCAUUAAGUCUAUUUUAGGCAUGAGGAAACCUAGCAUUUUUAACAGAAAAUGGAGUCUUGUUGCAUAUCUUACAGUUUUAUUCCAAAUGACUAUGAACAUGACAGUUUUUCUGAAGCAAUGAAUUUAACACCUAGCAUUUUAAGAGCUUGAGCUUAUUGCUGAAGCACUAAUUAAGCUUUACAGAUGAGAGACUAAGUGACUCACUAGAGGUGACAGAGAACAUCAGUGAUGGGACUUUCGGAUGUCAUAAGGGCCUAUGGGGGGGUUGGAGUUGUUCAUUCAGCAUUCUUCUUUAUUUGAAGCUAUUCUGUAGCUAAUAAUAAUCUAGUUCAUUCAUUUACUCACUCAUUCAUCCAUUAAUGCAUCUAUGCCUUAAAACAUUCAAUAAGCUUUUAUUGGGCACUUACUCUGUAUAAAAUCCAAUAGGAAUUGCUAAAGACAGAUAUAGGCAAAUCAUUGUUUCUGCCUUUAAGGAGCCCACAAUGAAUGACAGAUCAGAAAAUGAAUUAGUAUAGUACCUAGUGAUAAAGUCUAUAAUAAGGUAAGGGAGCUAAGAAAGGAUAAAAGAGAGGUUCUAACUAUCCUGGGUCUAGAACAAUCUCAUAAAGGAUAUGAGGUUUGAGCUGAACAUUGAGACUUUAGCAGGCAUUAACAAGAAACAAAAGAAAAUGGUGUGCAGCUUCCAGUGUUUCUGGGGCAGAAUAUUUCUCUGGAGAGCGGUAUAGCAGAUUAGGAGAACUGAGCACCAGCUAAGGCCAGAUUUUGAAGAAGCCCAUAGGCCAUGCUAAGCAAGUAUUUCGGACUUUCCUGUUGCUCACAGGGAGCUGCUUCAAAGGGGAGGAUCAUGUUAUAAAAUUUACAUUAUAAAAAGUUUAUUGUAGAACCAGAUUGUCGAUUGUUGUCGUAUUCCUUGUCUAAUAGGAAAAGACUCCUGUUUAAGAGAUUUUUAUGAUAGAAUAACAGAACAGAAUCCUGAUUAAAUGCCUGGUUUUGGGGCUUGUAAGUCAUAGAAAAGAGACAAGUGGGAACUCAGGAUAAACCCUAAAAUUCCAGCUUAAAUACAUGAGUGAAUGCACAUCUAUCACAGUGUUAGAAAAUACAAAAUGAAAGUAGAUGUUGAGAUUGAAGUCUGUAAAAUACCCAGAUGGCAGAGAGCAGACAUAGCAAAGAGAAGGUGAGAAGUAUGAUCAGGAGGUAUAAAAUAGUCAAUGAUAAAGAGAUAUUGGUUAAAACUAUGGAUGUAGGUGAAAUCUUUGCUAUAUCCAACCAUAUUUCUAAUUGCUUUGGCUGCAUAGUGAUUUGUACUUUUAAUAAGAAGGUCACUUUAAGUUUAUUCUACAUGGCUAAAGUAACUAUUAUUUUUUGAAACACCACACACCAAAAUUUUGACACAUUUAUACAUUAUUCUCACAAAUAUGGGAAAAUGACUACAUGGAUAAAUACAAUAAUUAAAUUAUGUAAAAAUGUGACCCUUUCUCCAGUGAUCAAGAAAAAAAUAAAACUAUGGUUAUGGUAGAAAAAGUGUUUGAUUUAAGCCUCUAUUUAACUUUAUUAGAAAUAUACUAUCCUCUCCUACACCACCUUUUGUGCUGCUCUCCUCAUCCAGCCCCCUUCUCAGCCCAUCACUCUCUGCAAUUUGAAGGGCUUAACGUUAGUUUCCACCCUCUCUUCAAGUGUCAGUGGAAACUUAUUUACAGAAGACCUUAAAGGCAGGGAGCCUCUUUGUGCUUUACAAACUUCACAUAUCAGACUAAAAAAUUGAUCCAUAGGCUGGUUUUAAAUUGCUUCUUGUCCAAACUCUACCUAUUUAGGUUCCAUCUAAAGAGGUAAACAAAACCACUGAGCAGAAAGAUGAAUAAAGAGGUGAAGUCGAAAUUGAAUGUGGAUUCCACAAUUAUAGAAUUUCCUUUUAAUUCUCAGUGCAGGUUGUACCUCUGGCCAAGAAACCUUGUAUGGCCCCCUCUUACUGCCAACCCAACCUGAUUUAUAAUAAAAGAGCACUUUCCACACCACAUCAGAACAGCUUUUAUCUGUCUGUGACUGAAGUGACAAAUCCUUGAGGGGAGGGACCUUGUCAUUCAUUUGAGGCAUCUCCACACCUACUGUGACAUCAAAUCCAAAAUAGGCACUCUCAGCAGUUUUCAGAAUUUAGUUAUUUACCUAUCAAUGCCAAAUUAUGAUGAUCCUUAGGAAUUAGGAAAUUUUUAAAAAUAAAUUGUAAUUAAUUCAUUUCAGAACUCAUUUUUUUAAAAAAAAUAAAGCAGCAUGAAUAAAAAUAUCACUGGGGAGUUGUGCAUAAUAUCCUAUUUUAAUGAAUGAAUCUAUUUCAUGAUAUUACUUUUUUGUUCAAGGUUUAUAAUAUGCCUUCCCAUAAUGAUGGAGUUUCUUUUCUCCCAAAAAGCAAAUGGAUUUCUGUUCAAAAACAAAAUGUGGACAAUUAAGUUAGAAUCAAAUAUCUGAAAUUCAGGGUAAAGCAAGUUUCUCAUAUUGUAAAACCAUUACUGUAAUAAAAAAAGUUGAUUUAAUCAUAAAGCAGAAAAUAAUAAAACUGUGAUGCCUCUGUUAUAUAUGCUCAGUUGUAUUCUUAUGUAUCUGAGUUUAAAAAAAUUUACUACCAGAUAAGAAUCAUCUCUGUGUUAUAGACAUUUUCAUAGAUUUUUAUCAGCGCCUCCCUUGCUGUGUUAUGUAUUUGGUUUUAUGUUAUUUACCCAGUUGGAGAACAAGCUCCUAAAGGACAGUUUAUUUUGAUUCCCCAGUACCUAUGACAAUGUCUGGCAUAAGGAAGGAACUUUAAAUAUAUCUCUUCAAUAAAGGACAAAACAAAAAAAAAAUGUUCUUUUAAUUUUGGAAUAAAGAGAUCAGGCCUGUUUAUACCUCCCUGGCUUAGUCUUAGAUAGUGUCUGCUGGUUAUUCGUAUCGCUAUGCUCCACAGCCAAGCCUCUGACUUCUUGGCAAGAACAGUGCACAGGUAGGAAGUCAGUGAAGGUCAUGAACUGACGUCAGACACCAGAAGGCAUAGGCGUGACCUUAAAGCUGAGCAGGUAGAAGAAAAACAGAGCUGGGGAUCAGAAAGUGAUCUGCUAAAGCUGAAUCCAGAUGAAAGGGAAAACAACAGUGUCUUAGGGACUGUCUAAGAUCAGCAUCUAAAGAAGUUGAUGAGUGACAAAUUAAGAAAAUUAGCCAGUUUAUCUGCAGUAUACAAGUUCUUCACACCAAAACCACACGAGCCCAGAAUAAGCCAUGCUUUCUUAGUAUUUAUACUGUUCCUUUCACCUAUAACUUACUUUCAUCACUUCAGUUCUUCUGCCAUUUUUGUAUGGCUUAUACAUCUCAGUUAUUCUCUAAGAAGUCUUCACACCUCGAAACUACACUGGGAACACUUUCUAUAAGGUCAUAUCGUUCUUUGUGCUGCCAAACCCAUCAUAGUGUCUGGAAAUAGUUCAUUCAGGGACGUGUUUUACUAAUUUUUCUGAAAGUUGAACUUAUUCCCAGUAGCUAGAGCUUAACACAGUGCCUAAUACAGAGCAGGCAUUUGGUAAAUAUUUGUUGAAUGAAAUAAGGAGGCAUGUUUUGUUUUUACAAAUGGGAAGGAAACUACUGAAACAUUGAGUAGCCUAUUUAGUAUCACAGUUAGCAGUAUCUAGUAUUUAUUUAUUCAACAAAUAUUUAUCAAGUUCCCAGGUACUGUACUAGAUUCUGUGAGCAUUACGUUAUUAAUUUUUUAAUCUUACAAUGACCCCUUUCAUUUCGUGUCCGUUUUAUAUGGGUGCUUUUAGUAUUUUAACAUUAAUGAUAACAAUAAAUAUGUAGAUUUGGUUCUUUUGUCUCACAUGUUGCAGCUAAUGAAAGCAUGUCUCAUGGAGGUUAACUAACUGUUCCAGGUCUAAUCACCUAACAAGAUGAGGUGCUAGAAUCAAACCCAGGUCUCUCUGAUCCAAAGACAAUUAUUUCCCUACUAUGCAACUAUGAAUAUUUAUAAUUAAUAUAAUUUUCUAAUUUUGUGAGCAAAUAAAAUAGAGAGAUUUUGUUCAUCUUUGAUGUCUUUGACAAUAGUGAAUAAAUAAUUGGAUGAUUUUGUUUCCUUUGGAACUUGUCUAUAUAACUAAACAAAAUUCUCAGGACUAGUAAAAAAAUUUCUAGCUAGAUCUCUCUAUGUACCUUAAUUACUUUUCAUUAGGCUAUAUUUAAUUAAGAAAGCAAAUAGGCCUUAUUAAAAUUUAAGAAUUCCAACUUUUAGUCAAUAUUUUAUGGAUGCUAUUGAGCUUUGUACUGAAAUCCACAGUAUAUUUUUCUCAGUUCUUAUCUGGGCUUCAUAGGGCCAAAGCAUCAGAAAAUUAGUUUUCUUAUUGUCCAUUUGCCCUUAUUAUAGUUGUAAAUAUCCUCUGAUACCCCAAUAGUGGGAAUAAAAUGAUUUAAUAUUAAGUACAAUUAAGGAAAAUUGAAAGAGAUUAUGUAAUAACUAGUUGUUGAAAUGUAAACUAUAUUUUAUCCACUAUUUAGUGCCUUCAGGACAUCUAUUUAAACUGAUUCUGAGUUUAAAUAUUUACUAUUUACAUCCAGUACUGAGGGAAGAUCUUUAUAGAGCUUCACUUUUACAGAACUAUAAUCACACUUGUCACUGCUCUCCUCACUUUGUCCAAGACCUUUCCAAAGUGCCCAAGCUUCUUGACCUCUUAAUGUAAAUGGAUAUUUAUAUGCAAAACCUGUGAAUGUGUGUAUGUGAAUACAUGUAGUGAAGGAAAGCAAAAGAUUAAAAAUUAAAUCAAGGUUAAAAUUAAAUAUUUGGGACUUCAGAAAAAGCUGUGUUAGGGCGGAAGGAAGAUUGCAAUUGUAACAGAGUUCUAAAUUUGAUUCUCAGUACUAUCACUAUCUCAUAAUCUUAAUUAAAAUGUCUGAAGAGUCUUGACCCUUACUUUUCUCAUAUAGAGUUUAGUAAUACUAAUAAAUAGUUAACUAGCAGGAGAACUCAGAUGAGUUAAUUAAAUAAUGUUGCUGACAGAGGUUUUGUAAAUAUAAAGCACCCUACAGGGUUAUAUAUAGUAUUGAAAAUUACCAUUUUUCCUAGUGCAACUAUAUAGAAAUAGGUUUAGAUGCAGAGCACAUAUAAUUCAU